UCGAACUCAGGAUGAAUUUUGUGAAGAAAAAUGUGGAGAAUAUAACUACAUUGAUUGAUAGGAGUUGAAAGAUGUCUUUUGUUUGCCAAAAAUUACGAAAAAACAAAUAAUCCUUACAUUUUUUUUCCUUCGAACCCUGUCACGGUUGAAACUCGAUUUUGGUCCCCACCGUAACUGUAGCUUAGAAAAUGAUGAUUCCCAACUGAAAUUUGCUGAAAUAGUAACCAGUAAAAAGUAGAAAAUAGAAUGGGGAAGGGGAAAAUGAGAAAAUAAGAAGAAUGAAGGUGAGAAAAGCUGUUGAUUCAAUUAAUAAUUUCACUAAAAUUUUGCAGAAAACAUUACAUAGACCCCGACUUCCUCCCACAUGGUUGUACGUAUACAACUAACAAAAUAUAAAGUCGUGCUUUCCAAACCCAGAAGUAGAAGAUGGUUUUUAACAAAUAACAACAAUUUAUUUCAAGCAAGAUGACACCGUAUGGACUUAAUAAAAAACGACGUCGUAGGCACUUUCAAUUCCAGUUACCGCCACUGGUUUCUUCUCCUCUAUUUUUCCUCCUCUGUUUUUACUUUGAGACCCUUCUUUCCCCAUUGAUCUCCCUCAUGACAACCCUUCUCCUCACCUUGAUCCUGUCCCCAAGAUAUUUAAACAGGAAACUAGGCCUUAAUCCAAUCAACAUCUUUCCAUGUCACAAUUUUUGGUGGUAGUAGAUCUGACCAAUGAAUGAGCUAUUGUUCUACUAUUCGAUUUAUACGCUUCACUAAUUUGGAUUGUAGGAUUGCAAGGAGAUAAUGACCUACCUGUAGUGGCUGCUUUUCUUCAGGGAGUUGUAGGACUGGCAUUAUGUUGUCACCAAGUUUUUUCUUCAAGAGUGAAAUAUGGAAGACUUGUUGAAUUUUGAAGUCUCUAGGUAGUUCCAUUUGCUAAGCCACUGUCCCUACUUUCCUAGUAAUCUAUGAAAGGUUUUCCUUUAACUGAUGGUUUAAUUUGUAUCUCCAUAUCUCCACCACUAGUCUCUUUAUGUUUGUAUUCUGGAUAAAAG
rnacentral:lncRNA from 1 species